AGCAGCCGCGGUAAUUCCAGCUCCAAUAGCGUAUAUUAAAGUUGUUGCAGUUAAAAAGCUCGUAGUUGAAUUUCGGGGUCAGUAGUUUGGUCAUGCCACAGGUAUGUACUGAUCUUACUGAUUCCUCCUUCCUGAUGAACCGUAAUGCCAUUAAUUUGGUGUUGCGGGGAGACUGGACUGUUACUUUGAAAAAUUAGAGUGUUUAAAGCAGGCUAACGCUUGAAUACAUUAGCAUGGAAUAAUGAAAUAGGACGUUCGAUCCUAUUUUGUUGGUUUCUAGGAUUGACGUAAUGAUUAAUAGGGAUAGUUGGGGCAUUAGUAUUCAAUUGUCAGAGGUGAAAUUCUUGGA
rnacentral:rRNA from 1 species